rnacentral:rRNA from 1 species
AGUGAACGCUGGCGGUAGGCCUAACACAUGCAAGUCGAACGGCAGCACAGUAAGAGCUUGCUCUUACGGGUGGCGAGUGGCGGACGGGUGAGGAAUACAUCGGAAUCUACUUUUUCGUGGGGGAUAACGUAGGGAAACUUACGCUAAUACCGCAUACGACCUACGGGUGAAAGCAGGGGAUCUUCGGACCUUGCGCGAUUGAAUGAGCCGAUGUCGGAUUAGCUAGUUGGCGGGGUAAAGGCCCACCAAGGCGACGAUCCGUAGCUGGUCUGAGAGGAUGAUCAGCCACAAUGAGACUGAGACACGGUCCAGACUCCUACGCGAGGCAGCAGUGGGGAAUAUUGGACAAUGGGCGCAAGCCUGAUCCAGCCAUACCGCGUGGGUGAAGAAGGCCUUCGGGUUGUAAAGCCCUUUUGUUGGGAAAGAAAAGCAGCAGGUUAAUACCCCGCUGUUCUGACGGUACCCAAAGAAUAAGCACCGGCUAACUUCGUG